UGAAGCUUGAGGCACAAACCUGGAGCAAAUCAUACCAUGACAGCAGCAUACAGAGGACCAGGCUGUGCAUUUGAAAAUGUGAAAAAGAAACGUGCUGUGUCUGGAAAGGUUCAGGAGAGGUUUACUGAGUGGAUGCACAGAGGACCUGAGCCAAAUCAAGGAGAUGAUUAUGGGUCUGCUGGCUUCAUGAAGGUUUGGAGCUGUUUCUCAGAGUUUCAGUCACCCCUGUUUGUCCAUGCAAUGCUCAAAAGGACAAAGAGGGAGCUGUGAGUUCUGCACAAUGCACUCCUUUGUACGGUGCAGACAGGCAAAUUCUCGGCUUCACGGGAUAAAAACCAACCCAACACAUCAGUGAGAGGAAGAAACAGAGCCUGAGCUGUGAUGCCCUGACUGCUUACUAGAAGGCUGCAGAGUGGCCUUGAGGCUACAAAUGUUCCUCUGCUGGAAAGCCCGUCAGGAGUAAACCCGGGAGGCCACAUCUGUGAGUGUGUGAAUGGAGCAGAGCCGCCCUCCCACACAACAGGAAUGCCAUCAGAAGGAUGUGCUCUGUAUGGGAGGAGAAAAAUUUAUCUGUUUGUACAUCACUACGGAAACCCAGAUACAGUAUCACUGCCAAAGUGCUGAAGACAGUACAGUUUGUGACUAUGACUCAAAAUUACUAAAGCAGAGAUCUUUAAAUGAUGUUGAUAGAGCAGAAAAAUAUAUAUAAAAAGAGAAACAUGCUUUUUAAAAAAUGAACUAAAGAAAUAUAAUAUUCCCCUUUCACAUCAACAGGAAAUAUGACUACAGGUUAGUUCAUGCCUGCAGUGCAUUGAGGUUACAGAAUCCGGAAAGAAAUGAGCUUCAUAGAGCAUGAUAUAAAUUGUAUUUUUCCCACAAUUUCUAAACUGUAAGCAGUUUAUUCUCCUCAGAGAUUUUGUUUCAAGAGGUCGUUUCUGUUUUUGUGAUAUA